rnacentral:rRNA from 1 species
UCGCACGAGAAAGGGAGCAAUCCUAAGUAAAGUGGCGCACGGGUGAGUAACACGUGGAUCAUCUACCUUUUAGUGGGGAAUACCCCCGGGAAACUGGGGACAAUACCGCAUAAGCUCGAAAGAGGAAAGCAGCAAUGCGCUGAAAGAGGAGUCCGCGGCUGAUUAGCUUGAUGGCGGGGUAACGGCCCACCAUGGCGAAGAUCGGUAGCCGGCCUGAGAGGGCACACGGCCACACUGGCACUGAAACACGGGCCAGACUCCUACGGGAGGCAGCAGUGGGGAAUCUUGCACAAUGGAGGAAACUCUGAUGCAGCGACGCCGCGUGAGCGAUGAAGCCCCUCGGGGUGUAAAGCUCUUUCGACGGGAAAGAUUAUGACGGUACCCGAAGAAGAAGCUGCGGCUAACUACGUGCCAGCAGCCGCGGUAAUACGUAGGCAGCGAGCGUUGUUCGGAAUUACUGGGCGUAAAGAGUGUGUAGGUGGUGCUCUAAGUUUGGUGUGAAAUCUCCCGGCUUAACUGGGAGGGUGCGCCGAAAACUGGAGUGCUUGAGUAUGGGAGAGGUAAGCGGAAUUCCUGGUGUAGCGGUGAAAUGCGUAGAUAUCAGGAGGAACACCUGUGGUGUAGACAGCUUACUGGACCAUUACUGACACUGAGACACGAAAGCGUGGGUAGCAAACAGGAUUAGAUACCCUGGUAGUCCACGCCCUAAACGAUGCAUACUUGGUGUGAGCCAUUCAUUUGGUUCGUG